CUCGGACCUGGCGGGCCGGGUGACGUCGAACCGGUCGGCGUCCGGCCCGUGUGCGGCCGGGUCGCGUCCGGCGGCCGAGU
rnacentral:tRNA from 1 species